UACGUAGGGUGCGAGCGUUAAUCGGAAUUACUGGGCGUAAAGCGUGCGCAGGCGGUUAUAUAAGACAGUUGUGAAAUCCCCGGGCUCAACCUGGGAACUGCAUCUGUGACUGUAUAGCUAGAGUACGGUAGAGGGGAUGAAUUCCGCGUGUAGGCAGUGAAAUGCGUAGAUAAUCGGGAGGAACACCAGUGCGAAGGCGGCUUUCGUGGCCCG
rnacentral:rRNA from 1 species